rnacentral:rRNA from 1 species
UAAUUGUGGGCUUGUACGAAAGGAUAAACGAAGGUUAUGCUGUCUCAAAAAUACCCAUAUAAAUUGGCCUUUAGGUGAAAAGACCUAAAUCCUAUUAGAGGACAAAAAGACCCCGUAGAGCUUCGUAUAUUAAUAAUUUUACUUUUAUAUUUAAUAAAAUCUUUAAAUAUUAAUAAAAUAUACUUAGCUGGGGCGGCUAUGGAACACAAAUCUUCCAUAAAACACUAAAGAUACUUUCAAAUCUUAAUAAACAAAUGAUCCUUUUAAGAUCAAAGAAAUAAGCUACCUCGGGGAUAACAGAUUA